rnacentral:rRNA from 1 species
ACGGAGGAUGCGAGCGUUAUCCGGAUUUAUUGGGUUUAAAGGGUGCGUAGGCGGAUUAAUAAGUCAGUGGUGAAAUACUGCAGCUUAACUGUAGAAUUGCCGUUGAUACUGUUAGUCUUGAGUAUGGUCAAGGUAGGCGGAAUGUGUAAGGGAGCGGUGAAAUGCGGAGAAAUUACACAGAACAACGAGUGCGAAGGCAGCGUAAUGGGCCAUUACUGAGGCUGAUGCACGAAAGCGUGGGGAUCGAACAG